UGGGAUGUGGCUCGGCGGUGGAGUGCUUGCCUAGCAUGAGUGAGGUCCUGGGUUCCAUCCCCAGCACUUCAA
rnacentral:tRNA from 1 species